rnacentral:rRNA from 1 species
GAUGAACGCUAGCGGGAGGCCUAACACAUGCCAGCCGAGCGGUAGAAAGUAGCUUGCUACUUUUGAGAGCGGCGUACGGGUGCGGAACACGUGUGCAACCUGCCUUUAUCUGGGGAAUAGCCUUUCGAAAGGAAGAUUAAUGCCCCAUAACAUAUUGAUUGGCAUCAAUUAAUAUUGAAAGCUCCGGCGGAUAGAGAUGGGCACGCGCAAGAUUAGCUAGUUGGUGAGGUAACGGCUCACCAAGGCGAUGAUCUUUAGGGGGCCUGAGAGGGUGAUCCCCCACACUGGUACUGAGACACGGACCAGACUCCUACGGGAGGCAGCAGUGAGGAAUAUUGGACAAUGGGUGCAAGCCUGAUCCAGCCAUCCCGCGUGAAGGAUGACGGCCCUAUGGGUUGUAAACUUCUUUUAUACAGGGAUAAACCUACUUACGUGUAAGUAGCUGAAGGUACUGUAUGAAUAAGCACCGGCUAACUCCGUG